ACACAACAUAUAAGAUCUCCUAAACCUGUGUUAAAGAAGCAUUAUGUCGAAUUGUUGCAUUAUAAUAUAUCUGCAGUAUAGUAGAAUGAUAGUGUUUAACAUACAUAUAUAUAUAUAUUGCUUCGGGCUCUUACAAAACACUCCAUACAGAACCAAUCAGUCGAUAUAAUGUACAAGUAUCAUCAGAAAUCACGCGAUGUGAGUCACACAGUGGGGCGGUGCCUGUCCAAAUCGUUGGUCAGAAGAUUCAAAUCAACGUUUUAUGUCAUAAUUUCCGAGUAGGCAAACAGCGUCAACCACAACUGUUAUUACACCCCGUUUACGUUGGUGGCGGUAAUGACCAUUUUUAUUGUGCUGUAACUAAAACUAGAAGAUUUGACGUCCUUUCCCUUCGCCAAAGGCAGCACCCAGUUGGACGUGGAAGUUUGGGACCCGUCAGAUAAAGGAGACCCUCACGGACAAGAGGACGUUGUUCCUGACCUGGCAGUAGAGAUGCGUGGAAACUCUGGCAGAACAGGAGUCUGACAUGAUGUCCCCGGCAAUCACCGACGAAAGGAACGCUCAGUUGACUUUUUCGGCUUGAGAAGUCAACUGCUUUUUUAGGAUGCUGUCUUCAUAUUUGUCCCACUGUAUUGGGGCUAGUCGAUAAAGGUUCUAAACCUUUUAACAUAAAUGUUCACGUUUCAGCCUGGAGGAAAGGUUGAAGGCCAUGGAGAAGAGAAGCUGGUCUCUUCAACACUGUGCAGCAAUUUUGGAAAGCCCGCAGACUAAGAAAACUCACUGUCUGCUGGCUACAAUCCAUAGGCUGGUCCUGUAGCGCUCUUUCUAUUGUGGCCAGGUACUGCAGCCAAUUCAGUGUUGUUGAACACUGCAUCAAACCCUGGCAUAUCACUGCUGUUGUUAUCUACGUCUCAUUCACCCAGGUGUUUUGAACUAUAUGAAAGAUUUCAAACGUCAAGAUUUUCAUUACCAUUUCUAAAAAAUAGUUUUUCAGAUGGACAAACCAUUGCUGUGCGGCUCUCCAGAAGAAUCGAGCGGACAUCGGAGAGAAUUAAACGGCAGACAAUGGGAGGAACUGGAGUACGUGGAUGUUCUCCAGCAAGACCAUCCAGUCUGGUCCCAGGUGUCCAACAGCUUGGGGGACAGUCUGCUCCGGGCAAAGCAGCGUGCAGUGAUGCUGCAUAACAUGUGCCGUAGGAGAGGCACACAAUACAGGCAUAUCUACACAAUGGACUUUUUGUAUUGCCAGCAAGAGCUGGGGCUUUUUUAAAGAUGCAGAACAUAUCAAAUGCAGAACAUAGUAAAGCUCUAGCAAGCAUUUUCAAGGUUGGCUGUUGAUGGCUUAGUCAGCACAGAUGUAAAAGAGGACAGUGGAUCGGAGAACAGUGAUUCAGAGGAUGAAAGUGGUUGAGGAAUGAAUGUCUGUCUAUGCGUGAGUUUUAUAGGGCAAACUAUACUCUGAGUAUUUCUCACAUUAGGAACACACUUCCUAAUAUUGAGUUGCACCCCCCCCAGCCCCCCUUUUCCCCUCAGAACAGCCUCAAAUCGUCGGGUAAUGGACCUGUACCCCCGCACAUUGACUCGGUACCGGUACCCCCUGUAUAUAGCCUUGUUAUCGUUAUUUAAUUGUUACUUUUUUAAACUUUAUUUAGUAAAUUUUCUUAACUCUAUUUUCUUAACUGCAUUGUUGUAUAAGGGCUUGUAAGUAAGUAUUUCAUGGGCAAGUUUACACCUGUUGUAUUCGGUGCAUGUGACAAAUACAAUUUGAUUUGACUACAAUGUGUCGAAGCGUUCCACAGGGAUGCUGGCCCAUGUUGACUCCAAUGCUUCCAACAGUUGAGUGAAGUUGUCUGGAUGUCCUUUGGGUGGUGGACCGUUCUUGACACACAUGUGAAACUGUUGAGUGUGAAAAACCCAGCAGCGUUGCAGUUCUUGACACAACGGUGCGCCUGGCACCUACUACCAUACGCCGUUCAAAGUAAUUUAAAUCAUUUGUCUUGCCCAUUCACCCUUCUGAAGGGCACACAAUCCAUGUCUCAAUGCUUAAAAAUGAUUAUUUAACCUGUCUCCUCCCCUUCAUCUCCACUGAUUUAAAUGUAUUUAACAAGUGACAUCAAUAAGGGAUCAUAUCUUUCACCUGGAUUCACCUGGUCAGUCUAUGUAAUGGAAAGAGCAGGUGUCCUUAAUGUUUAUUACACUCAGUGUAUAUGUUUGUCAUACUUGGGACAAAUAGGAUGUUAUGCAGAAAAAUAUGUUGGUUAGACAAGGCUAUGUAUGUUUGUGCACAUGGAAGUCAGUGAUUUAUGUUUACUAUACUGUAGGUUAAUUAGGCAAUACAAAUGUGAUGUGACCAAAAUAUGGAUAAAUUGAAAGGGCAGGGACGAGAUUCACAAAACCUUUAGACAUUUCUUAACUGCCAUUUUUUUCUUAACUAUAGUCUUAUGAAGAAAGUUCUAUAACUCAAAAAGGUUAUUGAAAAUGUUAUUGUGCAAUUUCUUAUGUUUCUCAUUAAGCAUAAAGUUGGGAAGUAAUUAGAUUCUUGAAAAUGAAUUUGUUCUUAAUUCCAAAAUGGCUAAACCCUUGUAUUAAACUCAGUGAGAGAAUACGCUCAUGAAA